CAGAAGCUAGAUAGAAGGCAUCUGCCAUUUAACUGUAUUAGGGCAAAUUUUGUGAGGGAAUAAACCAAUCACAUUGUGACUUCUAAAGGGUGGGACCGUUUUUACAAAAACAAAUGGAAACUUCUGCCUUCAAAGGCCAACAGGUCACUGUGCAAUUGCAAGCUGUAGUUUUCCCACAGACUAGUAAGCCAUCUUUUGUUAUAGGCUUGUUUGCAGUGGCUGCAGCAGGUGUUAUUGAAGAGGAUGUUGUUUGUAAUUUGUUAGCUUCUCCCUUUUCAAGAAUAACUUUCAACAAGAAGUUCAUUUUCAAAUUAUCGUCAUCUGGGACCUACUGGCUUAUUAUGUCCGAAGGAAUGGACUGCUUAUCCUUUAACAUCAUGCUGUGUUUGACUGCUGUCUUUCCAUCGGCCCUAUGCAGUGGUGUUGUGGUGCCUGGAGAAUGGGCCUGGCUCACUAGUGUGUGGGCAUGUGUCCAGGCCCACUCAUGCCCACGCCCCUGAUGCAAACAGUACACGAUGACUGACCUGCGCAUCACAAAAAGCCUUUGGACCCAACUCAUUCAAUACAUGGUUUGCAUAACCAUUGUUGCCUUAGUUAGCAGUUGUCUAUCUACCCUACCGAUGACAUUCUUCUGUGAGCUCCAUGCCAAAACCAGUUGGUCUUGCUGCCUGCAGAUGAUAUUCCGCUGAAACUAGGCUAUGUGUGCUGCGCGCAUGUGACUUUAUUUCACAUACUUUGUGAUUGUGUAGGUUAAUUUGUGCAUGAUGGUACUACAUAGAUUGUACUACAUAAUUGAUAAGUCAUAUCCCUACACUACUUUGAUAUGCAUCAGUGGGGAUUAAGAAGUGAGUAUAAGCAAUGCUCACUGGAAAAAUAGGUGGUUAUAUGAUAUAUACAGUUGAAGUUGGAAGUUUACAUACACAUAGGUUGGAGUCAUUAAAACUUGUUUUUCA